GAUGAACGCUGGCGGCGUGCCUAAUACAUGCGAGUCGAGCGAACAGAUGAGGAGCUUGCUCCUCUGACGUUAGCGGCGGACGGGUGAGUAACACGUGGAUAACCUACCUAUAAGACUGGGAUAACUUCGGGAAACCGGAGCUAAUACCGGAUAAUAUAUUGAACCGCAUGGUUCAAUAGUGAAAGACGGUUUUGCUGUCACUUAUAGAUGGAUCCGCGCCGCAUUAGCUAGUUGGUAAGGUAACGGCUUACCAAGGCAACGAUGCGUAGCCGACCUGAGAGGGUGAUCGGCCACACUGGAACUGAGACACGGUCCAGACUCCUACGGGAGGCAGCAGUAGGGAAUCUUCCGCAAUGGGCGAAAGCCUGACGGAGCAACGCCGCGUGAGUGAUGAAGGUCUUCGGAUCGUAAAACUCUGUUAUUAGGGAAGAACAAAUGUGUAAGUAACUAUGCACGUCUUGACGGUACCUAGUCAGAAAGCCACGGCUAACUACGUG
rnacentral:rRNA from 1 species